AUUGAACGCUGGCGGCAGGCUUAACACAUGCAAGUCGAGCGGGGUGAUGGUGCUUGCACUAUCACUUAGCGGCGGACGGGUGAGUAAUGCUUAGGAAUCUGCCUAUUAGUGAGGGACAACAUCUCGAAAGGGAUGCUAAUACCGCAUACGUCCUACGGGAGAAAGCAGGGGAUCACUUGUGACCUUGCGCUAAUAGAUGAGCCUAAGUCGGAUUAGCUAGUUGGUGGGGUAAAGGCGCACCAAGGCGACGAUCUGUAGCGGGUCUGAGAGGAUGAGCCGCCACACUGGGACUGAGACACGGCCCAGACUCCUGCGGGAGGCAGCAGUGGGGAAUAUUGGACAAUGGGGGGAACCCUGAUCCAGCCAUGCCGCGUGUGUGAAGAAGGCCUUAUGGUUGUAAAGCACUUUAAGCGAGGAGGAGGCUCUUUUGGUUAAUACCCAAGAUGAGUGGACGUUACUCGCAGAAUAAGCACCGGCUAACUCUGUGCCAGCCGCCGCGGUAA
rnacentral:rRNA from 1 species